rnacentral:tRNA from 1 species
GUUUCCGUAGUUUAGCGGUUAUCACGUUCGCCACACGCGCGAAAGGUCCCCAGUUCGAAACUGGGCGGAAACA